CAAAGGUUUGGUCCUGGCCUUAUAAUCAAUUAUUUCUCAACUUACACAUGCAAGUAUCCGCAUCCCUGUGAAAAUGCCCUCAAANCCCCUUCAGGGGUCAGGAGCUGGUAUCAGGCUCGAUCCUCAGCCCAUGACACCUAGCUAUGCCACACCCACAAGGGUACACAGCAGUGAUUAACAUUGACCAUAAGCGCAAGCUUGACUCAGUCAGAGUAAGUAGAGCCGGCAAAUCUGGUGCCAGCCGCCGCGGCCACACCAGGNNGGCUCAAACUGAUUAUAUUCGGCGUAAAGCGUGAUUAAAGCCAACUUAAACUGCAGUUAAACUGGAGCUAAACUGUANAAACCCAUGANAUCCAGGAAACACAAAAACGAAAGUCACUGCAAUAAAAUCCACUUGACCUCACGACAGUUAGGACACAAACUGGGAUUAGAUACCCCACUAUGCCUUACCGUAAACUUUAACUUACACCAAAAUCGCCAGGGAACUACGAGCAAUGCUUAAAACCCAAAGGACUUGACGGUGCCCCACANCCACCUAGAGGAGCCUGUCCUAUAAUCGAUGACCCCCGUUCAACCUCACCACUCUUUGNCCCAUCAGUCUGUAUACCUCCGUCGUCAGCUUACCACGUGAGCGACUUNCAGUAAGCAAAAAGGUCCCNCCACCAAAACGU
rnacentral:rRNA from 1 species